GCGGUGAAAUGCGUAGAUAUCGGGAGGAACACCUGAGGCGAAGGCGGGCUACUGGGCCGAUACUGACGCUGAUGCGCGAAAGCCAGGGGAGCGAACGGGAUUAGAUACCCCGGUAGUCCUGGCCCUAAACGAUGGACACUUGGUGUGUCGGGUUAUUCAGUCCCGGCGUGCCGGAGCUAACGCGUUAAGUGUCCCGCCUGGGGAGUACGGUCGCAAGGCUGAAACUCAAAUGAAUUGACGG
rnacentral:rRNA from 1 species